rnacentral:rRNA from 1 species
AAAUUGAAGAGUUUGAUCAUGGCUCAGAUUGAACGCUGGCGGCAGGCCUAACACAUGCAAGUCGAGCGGAAACGAGUUAUCUGAACCUUCGGGGGACGAUAACGGCGUCGAGCGGCGGACGGGUGAGUAAUGCCUAGGAAAUUGCCCUGAUGUGGGGGAUAACCAUUGGAAACGAUGGCUAAUACCGCAUGAUGCCUACGGGCCAAAGAGGGGGACCUUCGGGCCUCUCGCGUCAGGAUAUGCCUAGGUGGGAUUAGCUAGUUGGUGAGGUAAGGGCUCACCAAGGCGACGAUCCCUAGCUGGUCUGAGAGGAUGAUCAGCCACACUGGAACUGAGACACGGUCCAGACUCCUACGGGAGGCAGCAGUGGGGAAUAUUGCACAAUGGGCGCAAGCCUGAUGCAGCCAUGCCGCGUGUGUGAAGAAGGCCUUCGGGUUGUAAAGCACUUUCAGUCGUGAGGAAGGUAGUGUAGUUAAUAGCUGCAUUAUUUGACGUUAGCGACAGAAGAAGCACCGGCUAACUCCGUGCCAGCAGCCGCGGUAAUACGGAGGGUGCGAGCGUUAAUCGGAAUUACUGGGCGUAAAGCGCAUGCAGGUGGUUUGUUAAGUCAGAUGUGAAAGCCCGGGGCUCAACCUCGGAAUAGCAUUUGAAACUGGCAGACUAGAGUACUGUAGAGGGGGGUAGAAUUUCAGGUGUAGCGGUGAAAUGCGUAGAGAUCUGAAGGAAUACCGGUGGCGAAGGCGGCCCCCUGGACAGAUACUGACACUCAGAUGCGAAAGCGUGGGGAGCAAACAGGAUUAGAUACCCUGGUAGUCCACGCCGUAAACGAUGUCUACUUGGAGGUUGUGGCCUUGAGCCGUGGCUUUCGGAGCUAACGCGUUAAGUAGACCGCCUGGGGAGUACGGUCGCAAGAUUAAAACUCAAAUGAAUUGACGGGGGCCCGCACAAGCGGUGGAGCAUGUGGUUUAAUUCGAUGCAACGCGAAGAACCUUACCUACUCUUGACAUCCAGAGAACUUUCCAGAGAUGGAUUGGUGCCUUCGGGAACUCUGAGACAGGUGCUGCAUGGCUGUCGUCAGCUCGUGUUGUGAAAUGUUGGGUUAAGUCCCGCAACGAGCGCAACCCUUAUCCUUGUUUGCCAGCGAGUAAUGUCGGGAACUCCAGGGAGACUGCCGGUGAUAAACCGGAGGAAGGUGGGGACGACGUCAAGUCAUCAUGGCCCUUACGAGUAGGGCUACACACGUGCUACAAUGGCGCAUACAGAGGGCGGCCAACUUGCGAAAGUGAGCGAAUCCCAAAAAGUGCGUCGUAGUCCGGAUUGGAGUCUGCAACUCGACUCCAUGAAGUCGGAAUCGCUAGUAAUCGUGGAUCAGAAUGCCACGGUGAAUACGUUCCCGGGCCUUGUACACACCGCCCGUCACACCAUGGGAGUGGGCUGCAAAAGAAGUAGGUAGUUUAACCUUCGGGGGGACGCUUACCACUUUGUGGUUCAUGACUGGGGUGAAGUCGUAACAAGGUAGCGCUAGGGGAACCUGGCGCUGGAUCACCUCCUUAUACGAUGAU